AUGCAGAAUGUGCCGUCCACACUAGACCAAGUGCCGAAAUUGUAUUUAUCACACCGCAAAAAUUGUAUAGUGCACCUUUCUGUGCCAGCCAUAGGGAUGACUUUUAUGGAUUUGAAGGCAGCCAAGGAUUUCUAUGAAGCUUAUGCACAUCAUGUUGGUUUCUCAGUACGUGUGGGACAACACAAGACUGGCAACGGUGUCAUUACUCACAAUCGUUUCUACUUUGAUCGUGAAGGUUUCCACGAAGAGCGGAAAGGUUUGCUGGUGGCAGUAAAGACAUGUGAAGGUUUCAUAAACAAAGACUACUGCAGGAUGUUUGGAGUUGCAGUGGUGCACUGA
rnacentral:rRNA from 1 species